UCACAGGGCAGGCACAUAAGCAUCUCUUCCUCUCCUUUUGGCUUCCCUCCUCUUGGGUUUGCACUGCCCCUGCUCUUGACUUGGAUGUGCACUGCCUCUACUCGACUUGGAUAUGCUCUGCAGUUCGCAUCUCCUCUGCAGCUCUGUUUCCCUCCUCUUCUGCUGUUUCUUUCCCUGUCUUUCCUCUGCUUGUGCUUUGUUAUAUUGAUGCUGACCGGAAGUGCUCGAGUUCUUUGUUUUUACAGCUGAUAGCACAAUGGUAUAUUAUACUCCACUCGGAAUUCCAAUAUGUUGGUGCAGUGGUUAGACGGGGGUUCCCAGGUCAAAAUCUGGUUGGUAGUAUUGCAAAUUCUGCUUUCUGUUAGGACGUUGGAAUGUCUACAUCUAUUUGGAAGUUGUGCUGCUAGGUAACUGCAGAUGCAGACUUGGAUGGGAUUUUAGGUUGAACUUGGAUGAUUCAGGUUAUGCCAAGAAACAUGUUAA
rnacentral:misc_RNA from 1 species